rnacentral:rRNA from 1 species
AUGGAGGCGUCCAAGUUCGGCUUCGGGCCCGACACGCCGCCGGCGUUCAAGUUCGACCCCACCGACGCCGACAUCGUCGCCGGCUACCUACUCCCCCGCGCGCUCGGCCUCCCCAACCCGUACGCGCACGCCAUCAUCGAGGACGACCCCGCGAGCGCCCCGCCGUGGGAGCUCCUCCGGAGGCACUACGGCAGCGGCCGGGUCGACCACGCCUUCUUCUUCGGGCCCCCCGCGAACGGCCGCCGCAAGAGCCGCACCAUCAAGGGCGCCGGCGUCUGGCAGGGGCAGAAGGGGUCCCAGGGCACCGUCACCCUGCUCCGCCCCGGCGGCGGCGAGCUGGACGUCACGUACAAGCGGUACGACCUCACCUUCUGCCGCGCCAAACACGGGGGCAGCACGGGGUACGUCAUGCACGAGUACGAGAUCAUAUCGCCGCCGCUCCCCGGCACGGUGCUCAGCCGCGUCAACAUCAACAAGCACCCCAAGAAGAAAAGGGCCGCCGCCGGCGAGCGGCCAGGCACGAGCUACCAGUACGAUGCCUCUGCGAUGCCGAGCGACAGCAGUGGAUUCAGUUUCAGUGACGCACAAGCCGGUGCUCUCUGUGGCGGCAACGGCGGUGGCAUGCCAGAUGCCGGCUGCUAUUAUGCUCGUCUCAAGUAUGCGUUCCCGGAGGACUGCUGCCUCCCGGCCACAGAUCAGCCUGGCGCGAGCUACAAUGCGGCGGCGAUGAAUAGCGACGGCCAAGGAUUCGCCGGCGCUCAAGUUGAUGCUUUCUCUGGUGGCGGCAUGGUGGAUACGGACGCCGCGUACAACAACUAUUACGGCCAGUACCAAGAGGUUGCCCCAUGGUCUUGUCAGCUGGGCCAGAGCCACAACCACGGCCAAUACUUGUCCGGAGAUGCCGCCGUGAUGCGCUCCCACGGCGAGGGGUUCAGCGUCCAGCAACCAGCCGGUGCUCUCUCUUGCUACGUCGAAAAUGCCGCCCUGAUGUGCUCCGGCGGCGAGCAACAAGCCGGCGCGCUAUGUGGCUACAACAAUACUGGCAGUGUCAUGCCAACUGAGGGCGCGAGCUCAACUAUUUCGCUCCGCGAUGGCGGGGAGAACGGAGACAAGAUCAAUGAUGUCUUGUUCGGCAACCACGACGGCGAAUUCAACCGUGAGAUGAGCGACCAGGAGAUCUACGACGUCUUGUUCGGGGACAACUACGACGGCCACGUCAAUUGUGAACAGAGCGAUGCCGGUGACGCGGCCACAAAUCCAGAGUGA